rnacentral:rRNA from 1 species
AUUGAACGCUGGCGGCAGGCCUAACACAUGCAAGUCGAGCGGAGCGGCGGACGGGUGAGUAAUGCCUAGGAAUCUGCCUGGUAGUGGGGGAUAACGUCCGGAAACGGGCGCUAAUAUCGCAUACUAUCAGAUGAGCCUAGGUCGGAUUAGCUAGUUGGUGGGGUAAAGGCCUACAAAGGCGACGAUCCGUAACUGGUCUGAGAGGAUGAUCAGUCACACGGGAACGGAGACACGGUCAGGACUCCUACGGGAGGCAGAAGGGGGGAAUUUUGGACAAUGGGCGAAAGCCUGAUCCAGCCAUGCCGGGGGUGGGAAGAAGGUCUUCGGAUUGUAAAGCACGUUAAGUUGGGAGGCGUUACCAACAGAAUAAGCACCGGCUAACUACGUGCCAGCAGCCGCGGUAAUUC